CCCAAAUUCACCUCAAUGCACACCCUUGCCUCACUAGGUCGUCUCAAGUCAGUAGUGGCCUCAUCAAUUCUCAAGGGCAUUCCUAUUGUCCUAGAUAAGGCGAAAAGGAACCCUUUCGCACGUAAAUGUACUGGAAGCAGAGGGAAUGAUACCCAUAUGGGAACUAUCGGAGUCUCUUGCUCAGGUGUAAAGUCACAUGUCCACUUAAGGACUCUCAUUGGACAACCAUCAAUAUACCAUGAAGGUUUAAGAAAAAGUCUGCUGUAAUCCUCCUCAUGUGUAAGGUGUAUAAGAAUGUGUGUUGUGUCAAUCAGUCCCACCUCGAAACAACUAUGUAACCCAAGCUUAGAAAAAUUCUCACGUACCUUCUUCAUGGUUGGCUUGCGAUGUGAAAAUUUCCCCACAAGUGUAUACUUGUAAGGAUCAGCAAGUGUAGCCUCCUCGGACUCAGUCAAAAUCACUGCCGGCUCACCCAUAUGUAUAAAGGGUUCUUUAGCAGCAAACCCAGCAGUGGAAGAGUCAUCUAUACCCUGUAUAACCGAUGUAAACGACUUUCGUGAACUCCGCUCAGCUUGAGAUAGGCUUGGACGGCUAGAAACUGCAGUAGCAUAGGUCUUUCGUCCCUGAUUGAGCACUGUCUGGGCCUCAUGUGGAAAAACCGAUGAUAAAAAUGGAUUUAGAUUAACUGGAAGAAUAUUUUGGACAAAAGUUGUCGGAGGGUCACCGGAAUGCCGCCGGCCGGCCGCUAGCAGCUCCGUUUUCCGGCCAAAAUCAACCGGAGGCAGAAUUUUAUGAUUUUCAACAGUCUCGUGCAGAAUUUCAUGCUGAAUAACACGGUCAAGCACGUUUCCCAAGGUGAGAACCGUAGAGGCCGAAAAUCGCAAUUUUUCGACAAACUGCCCGUUUACGUUUGGUGCCGUAACAGGAGCGUCCGACCUCCAAUUGCCGUGAUUUUUUGACCGAAGGUUCGCCAUUUCAUGGGUAUUCUGAAUAUGUGGCGCGUGUCUCUGUUGGAGCUUCGUACGAGAAUUAAUUUCAAUAUCAGUUUCGGGCUGCACUUUUUCCAAAGUUUCAAUUUCGGUGAAAUUGGACGUCGAGGACACCACCCCAGGGGUUUUUGGGCCUUUUGAGUUCAUUGGUAGUGGUCCCAUAUCCAAAUUCUGAUCAGAAGUGGGUGUUUUGAUGACAUUGGGAUUCGUGCCAUGAUUUUUCAAACUUAGAUCUACUGACUUGGGGGUUGAAUCUGAUAUUGGUGUUAUAGGAGAUGUUUGGGUGGUUUUUGGUGAUUAUUUUCCACCACUUGGAGUGGUGCAAUCUAGUGGUUUCGGUGGCGGAUCAGAUUUGUUGGAGUUUUGGAGGUUUUCUCCCAUCUAGAGAGAAGGGAGAGCGUUUUGGAGGUAGAGAGAGAAAGUGUUUUGAGGUUUUGGCUUAGGGUUUUUUUUUUUUUUUUAAUAAAGACAUCCACACAUCCUUAACGACUUUUUAGGGUCCACCAAGGAAGGUCGAUGGGGGUUAAGGGUUCCCCAACCAUGUUUAUUUCAUAAAAAUCAAGAGUACAGGAAAGGAGGGGGGGCAUAAACCUGACCUCCAAAAAGCAACAUUGCAACAAAUGAAAAAUUAUAAAUGAACAAAGUAAAUGAGGAAGUACUACUCCCUUGUACAAGAAAAAUGAAAAAAUGAUUGCCUAAACUAUGAACCUCUAAAGCUGGGCAAUCCAUAUCUGUCGAUCUGUACCAGUGCCCUAAUUUGUUGGGGCAGGUCAAGUGGUCCAUAUUCUUGGUAAUGCUGGUGAUCCCAACCCUCUGAAGCAAGAGAAUCUGCAACCUGGUUACCUUCUCUGUAGAUAUGAGAAACUGUGUCUCUGUCAAGGCGAAUGACGUCUCUGAUCUGUCUUAGAAUACCCUGAAUCGUCCAUGGUCCUCCACCUUUGGUGAUGCAAUGAAUGGCCAGCAUUGAAUCUACCUCAAUCCAAAUAGUUGAUAUUCCAAGUCCUCUGGCCAAUAGAAGCCCAUCUAGUAUGGCUCUGAGCUCAGCCUCCAAAAUGAAACAUGGGCCAUACGAUGCUGAGAAUGCCCUGAUACAGUAUCCUGCGUGGUCCCUAAUGAUGCCUCCACCACUUGCAAAUCCAUCUUUGACGCAUCCAUCAGUAUUGAUCUUGUAGGAUCCAAUAGGUGGAGUGCGCCAAACAACCAUAAUAGGUGGUGGUGGGAGAGGACGGGUCAAAGAAAUUCCAAAAAAGGAUGCAAGUGUCACAUCUCCUCGCCAAUGCUCAACUCGGAAUAGUCCUCCCAUAUGAAGGAAGGAGAUCAUGCGGUAGACCCUCCAAAUAAUACGUCUGGCCACCAUACGAAUACCUCUAUGCUUCGCAUCAUUCCUCUCAGUCCAUAGAAACCAAAAUACCAAUAGAGGAAUGAUAAUACGAAUGUGUCCACGACAAACGUGCUGUCCAGAAUACCGCCAUCUCUGGAACCUCUGUCUGACCCCCUCUCCUGAAGUCAUAGGUAUCUGAAAGAUGUCUCCAAAGUGCUGCCAUACCUGGUCGGAGAUGCUGCUGCUCGUGAAAAUAUGAUUGAUGGUCUCAAUCUCGGAACAACACUGACAACGAGAAGCCAACUGACAUCCAAUUCUCCUCUGAAUAACAACAUCUACUGGUAUGAGAUCCUGCCAUAGUCUCCAGCAGAAGAAUGAAAUAGUGGCAGGCAAAAUAGAGCUCCACAGCAGUCGAUAUGAGUCCUGAGGCUGGCGACCCGAAUAGACUAGUUGCCAUGCUGAUUUGGUGGUAAAUUCACCAUCCGAAGUAAUUUUCCAAACAAUUCGGUCCGGGGCAUCUGCACAUAAAGGUAUCGCCCCUAUCUGUCCCGCCAUGUGAGAAGGAAGGGCCUGUAAUAACCGUCCGAAAUCCCACCCAGUGUCAUCAAAAAAAUCCUGUACCCUCGCAGAUGUGUGCUGUCUGUGGGGGAAUAGGGAUGCCAACGUGGUCUCGCCCAUCCAACAAUCAUGCCAGAAGAAAAUCUGACCGGCUCCAAGGUGCCAAGCAAUGUGUGGAUCCGUCCGUGGCCCAACUGAUUUCAGCCUCUUCCAAGUAGGGGAAGCUGAACUGGGAACAGCUGCAAGUGAAGGAUGCGUCCCCUUACAAUACUUGCCCAGUAAAAACUGAGCCCAAAGUGACCUCUGAGAUCGGAACAACCACCAGAGCUUCAUGGAGAAUGUGUCCACCACAUCCUGUAAUCUCCUAAAGCCGAGGCCUCCCUCAUCAGUAGGAAGGCAAAUCUUCUUCCAACUUCUCCAAUGUAGACGUCGUGCUUGAUCCUUAGAAUCCCAUAGGAAUUGGGCAAAGAUGCUCUCAAGUUUCUUCAGCACUGUCUUGGGCGGCUGCAUAAUCUGAAGAAGAUGUAAAGGUAUGGAAGAAAGUACUGACCUCAGUAAUGUAAUACGACCCCCAGGCGAUAGUAAUCGUGAGGCCCAGCCUGAUAUCCUAUCCCUUAUCUUUUGGAUAAGGUCAUCAUAAAGGAAGCUCCUCUUAGUCCCCUUGAAUAAGGGGACACCCAAAUAAGUGAAAGGCUGCUGCUGAUGUCUGAAGCCCGUCAAAAUCUCUAGUCGUCUGAUCUGACUAGUGGAUGCUCGUCUGGAUAGUAUAAUACAGCUCUUGUCUCUAUUCACCAAUUGGCCAGAAACUCCUUCAUAAUGCUCCAAACAAUCUAAGACCCUCCUGAUGGACUGUUUCUGACCGUUGGCAAAGAUGAUCAUAUCGUCAGCAAAUGAGAGAUGUGAGACAAGAGAACUACCUCCAUGUCGAUAACACAUACUGGGAUACUCUUGAAACCUUUGAGUGAGCAAACGUGAGAAGUAGUCCGCUGCAAUGAUGAACAAGGAUGGGGAGAUAGGAUCACCCUGUCUGAGUCCUCGUGAGGAGGGAAAAAAGCCACAUGGGCGGCCAUUUAGGAGUACGGAGAAACGACACUCCGAAAUGCACCGCCUGAUUCUGUCAAUCCAGAUCUGAUCAAAUCCAAAUGCCUCCAAUAUAGAAUAAAUGAAGCCCCAGUCCAUGCGAUCAUAUGCUUAGGUUUUGGCUUAGGGUUUAGGGUUUAGGGUUUUCGACCCAUCUGGUUUUUUUUUUCUUUUUUUUUUUAAAGCAAAUGCCACUAGUGUGGUUUAUUUUAUAUAAUGAAAAGCGAGAAAACAAAGAGAGGAGGGGGGCAUGGACCUGACCUCCAGCAAAUGUAAAUUGUAACAAAUAUCUGAAGAUAAAAUGCAAUCACAGUAAACAAGACACAAACAAAAACUAAUGAAAGGUACUCAUGGGUAUUCCCGAGGGUAAAUCUUCGGGUGGUAGUACAUAGACAUUGAUCGGGUCAUGCGUCUGGUUUGAAACAUUUCUGGAUCAUAGUGGUAUGCGAUGUCUGGCUCGCUCGUUGGAGAGGGGUCUCGCCUGCGUGUAGGAGCCUGCUUUGGUGAUAAGUACUGUUCGGAUGGUGGUGCACUGAAUGUCGGGCAAAAAGUGGGUGCAUCUGAUCUCAUUGUACUAGUCGUAGGUGUGUCUAAUCUCAUGGUGUUCUGUCCUACGACAUCUGAAUCGUGGGAGAUUGACCUGCUUGUUAUAGGGACAUCGUCUUCCGCAUUUUUCAUGCAGUUUCCAAGGCCCAUGCCAUCCAUGUCUCUCUGUAUAUGUUCUUUCACCUUAUUGUGUGUAGGAGCUGUGAUAGAAGGACUAGGUGAAGGUGUCUGCGUAGGAGUCUUACUCACAGAAGGUCCCUCUCCAAAGAGCUUAAAAACCAAGUCCUCAAUAGCAAAUCUCAUGGUAGAUCCAACUUUCAUUCCAUGGUCCUUCUUAAAGUGAUCAAUCAACAUAUGCUUGACACCAUGUUGCUCUGAGCUGAUCUCAGCCAACAAUCCCUGUGCAAGAGUGGUUUGAGGAACUGUCCCGGUACCUGAUACCUGCACUGACUGAGUACUAUCUGUGUGUGUCUUUAAUGGUGGAGAACUCAUAUGUGUCAGCUCAGGGGGUACAUCAGUAGUAGCUGUGGGAAUAGGAGCUAUGGAAGUAAUAAUAGGAGAAGUGGGUGCCUCGAUAGGAGCAUUUGGAGUAGGCUCAGCAACUGAAUGAAUAUACGGAGGUACCUCUGGAUCAACUGUGAUACGAGUAGAGGUAGGAACUGUCGAUGCAGAUUCUGACUCUGUCACAACUGCGGUAGUAGUAGUGGGAAGCACAGAAGGCACUGCUGAAACUGGAACCCACUGCUUCUUUGGCUCCACAAACAUCACCUUGCCCUUAUCCUUAUCAGUCCUAGUAAUAGGGGGCCGAACAGGGGGGGUGCGCAACAACUGUAGGAGGAGGAGGAGGAACCGUAGUACACUGAUCAUAAGAAUGACCCAAGUGUUUACAAGAGAAGCAAAAAAUUGGCUGCUUCUCAUAGAUAACUGUCUGCCAGAAGCCACGGUUACCAGGGCGCUCAAUCCAAACCCUAUCGGGCAACUUAUGCCCCAAAUUCACCUCAAUGCACACCCUUGCCUCACUAGGUCGUCUCAAGUCGGUGGUGGCCUCAUCAAUUCUCAAGGGUAUUCCUAUUGCCCCAGAUAAGGCGAAAAGGAACCCCUUCGCACGUAAAUGUACUGGAAGCAGAGGGAACGAUACCCAUACGAGAACUAUCGGAGUCUCUUGCUCAGGUGUAAAGUCACAUGUCCACUUAAGGACUCUCAUCGGACAACCAUCAAUAUACCAUGAAGGUUUAAGAAAAAGCCUGCUGUAAUCCUCCUCAUGUGUAAGGUGUAUAA
rnacentral:lncRNA from 1 species